rnacentral:lncRNA from 1 species
GUCGGUUUCUUAAACGGUUGUGAAGAUUAAGCGAUAACAAAAAAAACAGUGUUCGGGGAGAUAACUCUUAUAUGGGAAAGUAUUGGGUUUCGCGGUGUCAGUUUCAAAAGCGCACAAACUGUUCGAUAUCAUAUUUCAUUUAUUUAAGCGACAUCUUGCGAAACAAAAAAACAGCGAAGGAAAAAAAUGUUGGCGGAAGAAAAAAAAUAAUAAUAAUAAUAAUAAUAAUAAUCAGAACAAAAACAAUAGGUCUUUCAUCCGAAAGGUUGAAAGACCUAAUAAUAGGGAAAAACUGGAGUUGUCGUUUUUUACGUUGAUAGAAUGGAUAGCACACAAGCUACAUUCAGUUGUAAGUGGAGGGUAAAAAAAAAGGGGGGGCCAAAAGGGUCCAGAGGAUUUUUUUUUUUUUUUUUUAUAUUAAUGGAACAGAAUGGUUAAAAAGGCCUUUUUACAAUAUAAAUCAAUUGCUUUUAAAAAGCAAUUGUGAACGGUCUUUCACCCCCUUAAAAAGAUGAUUGAUUGAUGUGUGUGUGUGUGUGUGUGUGUGUGUGUGUGUGUGUGUGUGUGUGUGUGUUUGUUUGUUUGUUUGUUUGUUUGUUUGUGUAAGGGGUCUAUAGUAUUGUGUUACCGGAGAAGUUUCAUGUUUAGUUUGGAAAGUGUUUCUUUUAUUUUAGGUACAGCGCGCGCGACAUCACGUGACACGGGUUUAUAAUAACGAAAACUUAGUCUUUUUAUUUCUUUUGAGGUGGGACGUUGAACAGACAACAUGUAUAGAGACGGAAUGCACACAAUGUAAUUUCUUUUGUCAUUGUAGGAAAUUGACAUUUUGAUCACAGGUCACGGGCAGUGCAUGUUUUGGAUUUAAUCGAUCCGGUGUAACUUUAAAACACAUUUAAUGAUUAUUUUCUGAUAAUGUACAUUUUUCAGCACCUGUUUGUAACACAGAUUAGUAUUUCAAUC